CCUGACUGCUAUCGGAUUGAUACUAAGCCAUGCGAGUCAUUGUAGCAAUACAAGGCAGACGGCUCAGUAACGCGUAGUCAACCUACCCUAUGGACGGGAAUAACCUCGGGAAACUGAGAAUAAUGCCCGAUAGAACACUAUACCUGGAAUGGUUUGUGUUCCAAAUGAUUUAUCGCCGUAGGAUGGGACUGCGGCCUAUCAGUUUGUUGGUGAGGUAAUGGCCCACCAAGACUAUUACAGGUACGGGCUCUGAGAGGAGAGGCCCGGAGAUGGGUACUGAGACACGGACCCAGGUCCUAUGGGGCGCAGCAGGCGAGAAAACUUUGCAAUGUGCGAAAGCACGACAAGGUUAAUCCGAGUGUUUCCUGCUAAGGGAAUCUUUUGUUAGUCGUAAAACCACUAUCGAAUAAGGGGUGGGCAAGUUCUGGUGUCAGCCGCCGCGGUAAAACCAGCACCUCAAGUGGUCAGGAGGGUUAUUGGGCCCAAAGCAUCCGUAGCCUGCUUUGUAAGUUUUCGGUUAAAUCCAUCAGCUCAACCGAUGGGCCGCCGAAAAAACUGCAAAGCUAGGGAGUGGGAGAGGUAGACGGUACUCGAUAGGAAGGGGUAAAAUCCUUUGAUCUAUUGAUGACCCCCUGUGGCGAAGGCGGUCUACCAGAACACGUUCGACGGUGAGGGAUGAAAGCUGGGGGAGCAAACCGGAUUAGAUACCCGGGUAGUCCCAGCUGUAAACGAUGCAGACUCGGUGAUGCCCUGGCUUGUGGCCAGUGCAGUGCCGCAGGGAAGCCGUUAAGUUUGCCGCCUGGGAAGUACGUACGCAAGUAUGAAACUUAAAGGAAUUGGCGGGGGAGCACCACAAGGGGUGAAGCCUGCGGUUC
rnacentral:rRNA from 1 species